rnacentral:sRNA from 1 species
CCGCCGCGCCGAGCUGCUGCCCGGCGGCGCCGUGGAGGCCGUGGCCGCGCAUCUUGGCGCGGUCGCGGCGGUGCACGUUCAUGUGCCCGCCCAGCGCCUGCGCGGACCGGAACUCGCGGCGGCAGAACGCGCACGUGUAGGACCGCGGCGGCCACGUCCCGCCCAGGCCGUCCACGUCGUCCGCCGC